UUAAAAAUUAAUAAUAAGCCGCCUAGCUACCCAAAAAGAAGAGGUAGGGUCUGUGAGAACAUGAACUUUUCGCCCCUCCCUUGCUGUACAAUGGUUCCCAGAACAUUCUUGCAUGAAAGGUUUCCUGGAACAGCCACAAUGACCCAUAGCCUCCGGCCACAAUGGUCCAAUGGCCCUGUAAAAUGUCACUACCCCUAAUCACAAUGUCACAAAGUCCUAAAUUGUAUGGGCAGUUUAUGGUUUUGGAAUUCCCCUCCUCCCUCCCUCUUGAUCCCCCUGGUUUGUGGUUUUUUCCUUUAUAAGCUCUGUGAAAAUUCAGGUCGGGGUCGAACUCCUCUACUCCUUGUGUGGCGUAUGAGUCUCGACCCCAGCAUGCUGGCCUGAGCUCUCGUUUCAUCUCGCUUACAAUAAAUCUUCCUCGUGUGAUUGCAGCAGGUCGGUGUCUGUGUCCUACUGGGUGCGCGUCUUUCCCGAGACUUGAGUGGGGGGCUCCCUUCGGGGGUCUUUCAUUUGGGGGCUCGUCCGGGAUCUGCGCGACCACCCAGGGGUCCUAGACCCACUUGGAGGUAAGAUUCUCUGUUUUAUCUCAGCGCUGUGUCUGGGUCUGUGUCUAUGUUCUGUCUGGGAAUCUGGUGCGAUCGCUGUUUCGGUUUUGCGGACGCUCAGUGAGACCGCGCUCCAGGAAGGAGAGCGGGGUGGAUAGGGAUAGACGUGUCCAGGUACCCACCGUCCGUUCGCCCUGGGAGACGUCCCAGGAGGACAAGGGGGGACCAGGGACGCCUGGUGAACCCCAUCUGAUAGGUCCAGAGGAGACUUUACUCCUUGACGACCGGUUUGUUAGGCAAGGUCUGCGACCUGCCGAUCAGUUUCAGUGCCUCUGGUCGACACGAAGUCGACGUCGGUUUUGUUUUGUUUUGUUUUUUUUUUUUUUUCUCUUUUGUUUGUGCUCGUGUGUGUGAGUGUGUGUGAAUUAAGUCCUGUAGUCUGUGUUUUUCGGUACCGGUUUAAGGUCUUAGUGCACUGUCUGGGCAGAUGAAGGAUUCCUGCCCUGUGCACGAGAGUCUUAGUGCACUGUCUGGGCAGAAGAAGGUUUCCUGCCCUGUGCACGGGUGGAAGAAGGUUCCCCACCCCGAAAUGGCGCCUGUGAGUAGAUGAAGGAUUCCUACUCCGAAUAGUCUUUUUCUUUCUUUUUUUCCUUUUUAGAAAGCGCACCGGGGGACGCCCCAAUCCCGCAGGCUCUGGGACUCGUGAGAGACGUUCCACGAGUCAGCCUUUGUUGGGUCCUGGCUCUGGGACGCGUGAGAAACGUUCCUUGAGCCGAAUUUUGUCGGGAGGACCCGGCAACGGACAGUCAAAAAGAUCUGACUGUGACUUUGGAGGUCGAGUUCGGCUGCCUAUUUAAGUAUAGGCACGGACAAGUGUGCUUAGAUGUGUUAGUGUCUGUUGUCUGUAUUCUGUUUCUGUGUUUGGUAUCCCGGAAGCAGCUAAGGUUAAGCUGCAGUUUGGGCCAGGUACUGAAGGUACCAGGCAUCUGUGGAAAUUGGUUAUAGGAUGCUUUGUCUUGGUCUUGUUUGUCUGGAUUGUUUUCUGUGGUAUUGUCCAGUGUUUUUUUGACUUUUGUUUCGUGUUUGAAUUUGGACUGACGACCGUGUUUAAAAUCUUGGACUGACGACUGUGUUUGAAAUCAUGAAACUGUUUGCUUUGUUCGUCGAAGAGUUUUACUUGGUCCCCUUAAUGCUUAGUAAGAAACUUAAUCUUAUGGACCCCGCUCUAGUGGCGGUGUGUUGGUUGAUAGCCAAAGUUAAUUUUUAAAAUAGUGUUUUAUCUGUGCUUGUGCUCGCAGCACACAGUAGAGGGGAGCGAAAUUAGCUGCGGAGCUGCUGCAGCGAGCAUGGGGACUUCUCAAGUCUCACCCAAUUUUUCUGGCUCUUCAGGAGCUGUUUAAAAGGAAAAGGCUUAAGGUAAAAAGAAACACUAUAGAGAGAUUUCUUAGUGAAUUACUACACCUUGGUUCGCGAUCUCUGGGAAUCUCAUGGUGGACAGCUGAGAUAAGCUGGAAAAGGAUUUAAAUUUUGCUUGGGAGCAAAGAAUCUUAAAGGUGGAGUUUCAGCCGGUAUGACACUUAGUGCGUAGCUGCCUAAAAGAUCAGAAAUGCUGUUAAUAGGCUAUAAAAAAAGGGACAGGCUGUGUUAGAAAUGCUACAGAAGAAUAAUCUAAAAAGGCUGAGAGCUAGGUGGGGCUAUAAGGAAAACAAGAACAGGAAAGGAAUUUCUGACAUUUGCUCACAGAAGGAGAGUGCUCAUUUAGAGAAGUUCUUUAAGGAAGCCUGCCUUAUCUGCUGUCUUUAUUCCAAGGGAGGAGUCAGUCUCCAGCACUAAAUUACUUGGAGGUAGCCAAGGUCAGGAUUAAUGUUUUCUUUUCCAUGGGCCUUUAAACCCAGUGAGACAGUUUGGUAAAGGGCUACUACUGAGGUCCUGAUAGCCCCAGGUGAACUGGUUACAAUUCUUUUAUCAGCCCCCUGGCAUCUAGCACCCAGGUUCUAACCAUCUCUCCAUCCUUUUGUUAUUAGUUGUUACUAGAAGCCUAGUGUCAUUUGGAGGCUGGUUCUCUUGAGAGGCAAAGCCAUGGAGCUGACACUGACAAUGGCCUUUUUGUUCCAAGAAAGGCCUCCUGGUUUAGCUGUGUGACUAAAUGCUGUUUGCCCUCUUCGGUAGACUCUAUUCUCAAGAUUCUCUUGUUUUCUCACCAUCCCAUUUGAUAUGCUUGUUAGUAACUGUUACAGGUCUUCUUUACCACUGAGGAAAGACGGAAUCCUACUGGAGACCAGAAAAAAUGUUCCAGACACGGAUAGAAGGCCCUCACUUCUGCCUGCUCUCUUCAGACGCCUGAAGGCUAAAAGACCUACAGGUGAUACAGAAAGAAAUCUGCUCACAGCUGACAGCAGCCUAUGCCCCGGAGACCCCUGAGACAUCCCAUCAGUUCCAGGUUGCAGCUACACUGAGUCCAGACACUCGAGCCUCGCUGGAAAGGACCGUACCUGGUGCUGCUGACCACCCUGACAGCUGUCAAUUCUCAGCCCUCACCAGCCAUGUACUAGCUGUUGGGGCUGAGAGCUGGGACCUAGAGGGAAAUUCAGUCAUGUUUGUCCUGGGUUCUGUCAAGAUAGGUGUGGGAUAGGCUUGAUUUCCAUUACAAAUGAUGUAACAUUGCAUAUGUUAGUACUCUUAACACUUCUUGGGACUGUGCCUCAGGGAUCACAGUCCGUAUAAGCUUAGAAGUUCUAAAAGCUAGUCAUGACCUUGGUGGAUAGGCUUGGAUAGUGUCCAGGUUAGAAUCCUCAUGUUAAGACUACAAUACCAAGCUGUUAUGCUAGAUGAAGCUGAGUUCUCCAUGAAGUUCUAGGAUUAGAACUAUUAACAAAAAGAAGAAGUGGGGAAUGAAGGAUUAAAAAUUAAUAAUAAGCCGCCUAGCUACCCAAAAAGAAGAGGUAGGGUCUGUGAGAACAUGAACUUUUCGCCCCUCCCUUGCUGUACAAUGGUUCCCGGAACAUUCUUGCAUGAAAGGUUUCCUGGAACAGCCACAAUGACCCAUAGCCUCCGGCCACAAUGGUCCAAUGGCCCUGUAAAAUGUCACUACCCCUAAUCACAAUGUCACAAAGUCCUAAAUUGUAUGGGCAGUUUAUGGUUUUGGAAUUCCCCUCCUCCCUCCCUCUUGAUCCCCCUGGUUUGUGGUUUUUUCCUUUAUAAGCUCUGUGAAAAUUCAGGUCGGGGUCGAACUCCUCUACUCCUUGUGUGGCGUAUGAGUCUCGACCCCAGCAUGCUGGCCUGAGCUCUCGUUUCAUCUCGCUUAUAAUAAAUCUUCCUCGUGUGAUUGCAGCA